GACAGAGGAUGCAAGCGUUAUCCGGAAUGAUUGGGCGUAAAGCGUCUGUAGGUGGCUUUUUAAGUCCGCCGUCAAAUCCCUGGGCUCAACCGAGGAAGUGCAGUCGAAACUAUCUAGCUAGAGGACGGCAGAGGAAGGUGGAAUUCCAAGUGUAGAGGUGAAAUUCGUAGAUAUUUGGAGGAAUACCUGUGGCGAAGGCGGCCUUCUGGACCGGUCCUGACACUGAGACGCGAAAGCGUGGGGAGCAAACAGG
rnacentral:rRNA from 1 species